ensembl:misc_RNA
ACAGCUUUGGACAAAAGUCUAUAGCCAGUGCAUUUGAAACUCCCCUUGCACAAGGGCUGACUGUAGCUGGGGGAAGACAGUUCACUCAUUUGCGCUCUCCUUUCAUACAGUCAGCUGGCCCUCUUCUCAGGUGUAGAUCACCUAUUAUCAGUUCACCUGUUUUGAUUCUCUGAUGAGGAAAAUCCCGGGACUUAUCAGCCGGGAUAGGCCUCAUUUACAAGACAGCUCU